rnacentral:rRNA from 1 species
AUCCUGGCUCAGGACGAACGCUGGCGGCGUGCCUAACCCAUGCAAGUCGAACGGGGCGGCGGACUUCGGUCCAAAGCCUAGUGGCGGACGGGUGAGUAAUGCGUGAACAACCAACCUUGUACAGGGGGACAACAGCUGGAAACGGCUGCUAAUACCGCAUAAGACCACAGGACCGCAUGGUCCAGGGGUCAAAGGAGCAAUCCGGUAUAAGACGGGUUCGCGUUCCAUUAGCUAGUUGGUGGGGUAACGGCCUACCAAGG